rnacentral:rRNA from 1 species
AUUGAACGCUGGCGGCAGGCCUAACACAUGCAAGUCGAGCGGAUCGGCGGACGGGUGAGUAAUGCCUAGGUAUCUGCCAGGUAGUGGGGGAUAAGGUCCGGUAACGGGCGCUAAUACUGCUUCCUAUUAGAUGAGCCUAGGUCGGAUGAGCUAGUGGGGGGGGUACAGGCCUACCAAGUCGACGAUCCGUAACUGGUCUGGGAGGAUGAUCAUGCACACGGGAACUGAGACACGGUCCAGACUCCUACGGGAGGCAGCCGUGGGGAAUAUUGGACAAUGGGCGAAAGCCUGAUCCAGCCAUGCCGCGUGUGUGAAGAAGGUCUUCGGAUUGUAAAGCACUUUAAGUUGGGAGGCGUUACCAACAGAAUAAGCACCGGCUAACUUCGUGCCAGCCGCCGCGGUAAUAC